rnacentral:rRNA from 1 species
GUUGACCUCGGAUCAGGUAAGAU